GGGUUGUGAGGUUAAGCGACUAAGCGUACACGGUGGAUGCCCUGGCAGUCAGAGGCGAUGAAGGACGUGCUAAUCUGCGAUAAGCGUCGGUAAGGUGAUAUGAACCGUUAUAACCGGCGAUUUCCGAAUGGGGAAAAAGCGUCUGGAAAGGCGCGCGAUACAGGGUGACAGCCCCGUACACAAAAAUGCACAUACUGUGAGCUCGAUGAGUAGGGCGGGACACGUGGUAUCCUGUCUGAAUAUGGGGGGACCAUCCUCCAAGGCUAAAUACUCCUGACUGACCGAUAGUGAACCAGUACCGUGAGGGAAAGGCGAAAAGAACCCCGGCGAGGGGAGUGAAAAAGAACCUGAAACCGUGUACGUACAAGCAGUGGGAGCCUCUUAAUGGGGUGACUGCGUACCUUUUGUAUAAUGGGUCAGCGACUUAUAUUCUGUAGCAAGGUUAACCGAAUAGGGGAGCCGAAGGGAAACCGAGUCUUAACUGGGCGUUAAGUUGCAGGGUAUAGACCCGAAACCCGGUGAUCUAGCCAUGGGCAGGUUGAAGGUUGGGUAACACUAACUGGAGGACCGAACCGACUAAUGUUGAAAAAUUAGCGGAUGACUUGUGGCUGGGGGUGAAAGGCCAAUCAAACCGGGAGAUAGCUGGUUCUCCCCGAAAGCUAUUUAGGUAGCGCCUCGUGAAUUCAUCUCCGGGGGUAGAGCACUGUUUCGGCAAGGGGGUCAUCCCGACUUACCAACCCGAUGCAAACUGCGAAUACCGGAGAAUGUUAUCACGGGAGACACACGGCGGGUGCUAACGUCCGUCGUGAAGAGGGAAACAACCCAGACCGCCAGCUAAGGUCCCAAAGUCAUGGUUAAGUGGGAAACGAUGUGGGAAGGCCCAGACAGCCAGGAUGUUGGCUUAGAAGCAGCCAUCAUUUAAAGAAAGCGUAAUAGCUCACUGGUCGAGUCGGCCUGCGCGGAAGAUGUAACGGGGCUAAACCAUGCACCGAAGCUGCGGCAGCGACACUAUGUGUUGUUGGGUAGGGGAGCGUUCUGUAAGCCUGCGAAGGUGUACUGUGAGGUAUGCUGGAGGUAUCAGAAGUGCGAAUGCUGACAUAAGUAACGAUAAAGCGGGUGAAAAGCCCGCUCGCCGGAAGACCAAGGGUUCCUGUCCAACGUUAAUCGGGGCAGGGUGAGUCGACCCCUAAGGCGAGGCCGAAAGGCGUAGUCGAUGGGAAACAGGUUAAUAUUCCUGUACUUGGUGUUACUGCGAAGGGGGGACGGAGAAGGCUAUGUUGGCCGGGCGACGGUUGUCCCGGUUUAAGCGUGUAGGCUGGUUUUCCAGGCAAAUCCGGAAAAUCAAGGCUGAGGCGUGAUGACGAGGCACUACGGUGCUGAAGCAACAAAUGCCCUGCUUCCAGGAAAAGCCUCUAAGCAUCAGGUAACAUCAAAUCGUACCCCAAACCGACACAGGUGGUCAGGUAGAGAAUACCAAGGCGCUUGAGAGAACUCGGGUGAAGGAACUAGGCAAAAUGGUGCCGUAACUUCGGGAGAAGGCACGCUGAUAUGUAGGUGAAGUCCCUCGCGGAUGGAGCUGAAAUCAGUCGAAGAUACCAGCUGGCUGCAACUGUUUAUUAAAAACACAGCACUGUGCAAACACGAAAGUGGACGUAUACGGUGUGACGCCUGCCCGGUGCCGGAAGGUUAAUUGAUGGGGUUAGCGGUAACGCGAAGCUCUUGAUCGAAGCCCCGGUAAACGGCGGCCGUAACUAUAACGGUCCUAAGGUAGCGAAAUUCCUUGUCGGGUAAGUUCCGACCUGCACGAAUGGCGUAAUGAU
rnacentral:rRNA from 1 species